rnacentral:rRNA from 1 species
CCUACGGGCGGCAGCAGUGGGGAAUAUUGGACAAUGGGCGAAAGCCUGAUCCAGCCAUGCCGCGUGUGUGAAGAAGGCCUUCGGGUUGUAAAGCACUUUCAGUGGGGAAGAAAGCCUUGGGGCUAAUACCCUCGAGGAAGGACAUCACCCACAGAAGAAGCACCGGCUAACUCCGUGCCAGCAGCCGCGGUAAUACGGAGGGUGCGAGCGUUAAUCGGAAUUACUGGGCGUAAAGCGCGCGUAGGCGGUCUGAUAAGCCGGUUGUGAAAGCCCCGGGCUCAACCUGGGAACGGCAUCCGGAACUGUCAGGCUAGAGUGCAGGAGAGGAAGGUAGAAUUCCCGGUGUAGCGGUGAAAUGCGUAGAGAUCGGGAGGAAUACCAGUGGCGAAGGCGGCCUUCUGGACUGACACUGACGCUGAGGUGCGAAAGCGUGGGUAGCAAACAGGAUUAGAUCCCCUUGUAGUC